UACGUAGGGUGCAAGCGUUAAUCGGAAUUACUGGGCGUAAAGCGUGCGCAGGCGGUUUCGCAAGUCAGAUGUGAAAGCCCCGGGCUUAACCUGGGAACUGCAUUUGUGACUGCACGGCUAGAGUGUGUCAGAGGGGGGUAGAAUUCCACGUGUAGCAGUGAAAUGCGUAGAUAUGUGGAGGAAUACCGAUGGCGAAGGCAGCCCCCUGGGAUAACACUGACGCUCAUGCACGAAAGCGUGGGGAGCAAACAGG
rnacentral:rRNA from 1 species